GGGGACGUAUUGAUUCGACGGGAUUGCACUUUAAAAACCGCAAGCCAAGAAUGAAAUCUCAUCUUGUAAAACUGUGAUUUCAAAAACUAAACGGCAUUAAAAACUCCGUUGCGAACGCAUUUAGCGCUCUUGGAGCUCUCGCAAGAGGCCCUCAAGUCGCUUACGCAUAAGCUGCUUUAGAUAAUUCUCCUCCUGAUGGAAUGUUUAAGGUAUAUACUCAGUCAGGAUGCUGCAACUUCGGUGUUGGUUGAUCCGGAAAUUGCAAAAGACAACUCAAUCAGUAUUAGGUUUUCCUGCUAGUAGGUUACAACUUAAUACAAAAAAUAUACUAGCUAAGCUUGUAGAAGUUUUUAGAAUUCUUUCUCAGACCCGAUCUCAUAGAUCGGCGUCUCCACCA
rnacentral:tmRNA from 3 species